AUUGAACGCUGGCGGCAUGCUUUACACAUGCAAGUCGAACGGCAGCGCGGGCUUCGGCCUGGCGGCGAGUGGCGAACGGGUGAGUAAUACAUCGGAACGUGCCAGGUGGGGGGGGAAAGCCGGCGGAAACCGGGAUAAUUACCCCAACCACCCGGGGGGGAAAAGGGGGGAAUCUUGGAACCCCCCGCUAUGGGGGGGGCGGAUGGCAGAUUAGCUAGUUGGUGGGGUAAAGGCCUACCAAGGCGACGAUCUGUAGCUGGUCUGAGAGGACGACCAGCCACACUGGGACUGAGACACGGCCCAGACUCCUACGGGAGGCAGCAGUGGGGAAUUUUGGACAAUGGGCGAAAGCCUGAUCCAGCAAUGCCGCGUGUGUGAUGAAGGCCUUCGGGUUGUAAAGCACUUUUGGCGGGAACGAAAAGGACUGUGCCAAUACCACGGUUCGAUGACGGUACCCGCAGAAUAAGCACCGGCUAACUACGUG
rnacentral:rRNA from 1 species